rnacentral:sRNA from 1 species
UUCAAGGUCUACAGACAGAGUGUUACAGUGGGAAAGAAUUGAUUGCCAAGGAAUUCCUCCAUCAUCAAAGGACAAACUUGGUGUCUGGGUAUAUAAAAACAAGUUAAUAUUUUUUGGAGGGUAUGGAUAUUUGCCUGAAGAUAAAGUAUUGGGAACUUUUGAAUUCGAUGAAACAUCUUUUUGGAAUUCAAGUCAUCCAAGAGGAUGGAAUGAUCAUGUACAUAUUUUAGAUACUGAAACAUUUACCUGGAGCCAGCCUAUAACUACUGGUAAAGCACCUUCACCUCGUGCUGCCCAUGCCUGUGCAACUGUCGGAAAUAGAGGCUUUGUGUUUGGAGGCAGAUAUCGAGUAAGUAUUCAAAGAACUUCAAUGACUUGCUUUUGAAUUCUUCAAAAUGGUAACUUAAUUAUCCUUUUUUAGGAUGCUAGAAUGAAUGAUCUUCACUAUCUUAAUCUGGAUACAUGGGAGUGGAAUGAAUUAAUUCCACAAGGCAUAUGCCCAGUUGGUCGAUCUUGGCACUCACUAACACCAGUUUCUUCAGAUCAUCUUUUUCUCUUUGGAGGAUUUACCACUGAUAAACAGCCACUAAGUGAUGCCUGGACUUACUGCAUCAGUAAAAAUGAAUGGAUACAAUUUAAUCAUCCAUAUACUGAAAAACCAAGGUUAUGGCACACAGCUUGUGCCAGCGAUGAAGGAGAAGUGAUUGUUUUUGGUGGAUGUGCCAACAACUUGCUUGUCCAUCACAGAGCU